rnacentral:rRNA from 1 species
UACGGAGGAUGCAAGCGUUAUCCGGAUUCAUUGGGUUUAAAGGGUGCGUAGGCGGCCUUUUAAGUCAGUGGUGAAAUCCUGCCGCUUAACGGUAGAAUUGCCAUUGAUACUGAAAGGCUUGAGUACAGUUGAGGUAAGCGGAAUGUGUAGUGUAGCGGUGAAAUGCUUAGAUAUUACACAGAACACCAAUUGCGAAGGCAGCUUACUAAGCUGGUAACUGACGCUGAUGCACGAAAGCGUGGGGAGCGAACAGG